rnacentral:lncRNA from 1 species
CUUAAAUACAAAAUAAAAAGGGGACAUAUUCACCUCAUACCGGCUCUGCCUUGAAAUGCAAUAAUAAAUGCAAAAGGCAAUUGAACAAAAGUAAAAACUAGAUAAACAGAAGGACAGAGAAAAACCAAGGACGAAAGUUACAGAGAAAAUAUGAGACUGCAAUUCUCAGCGAAGAAAAAGGCAGAAAGAGAUUGUACCUACAAGCCAUAAUUGCUGAGCUUUUUAAUGGCAACCACUACAGGAUCGUCUUAGCCACUAGUCUGGUUGUUUCCUUGAAAACACUCCAAAAGCCACCUUCUCCGAUCUUAAGCAACCUGUUAAAAAACCAUUUGCUGCCUCUCUGAGCUCUUGAAAACUGAAAACUCGCAAAUUGUGCUCCUUCUCUUUGUACAAUUCAGGCAUGCUUCUUGGAGGUGGUGGGGAUUUCGCUGCACGACUCAUAGCUGAACUAUUGGAUUUGCUCUGUUCUCUCAAUUCUGGGGCUGAAUUUGCUUGCCCUUUCUGGUUCCUGGAUUUAUCCUUGAAAACAUAGAAACACUUCAUGGUUUUUCCUUCAGCUUUCAGUCCUCAAAAAGGAACCAUGGGAUGGAAAGAUGAAAACUGGAGGAAAUGAAGGUUGUCAUUGUAAAAGAACAGAGAACCCACGGAAAGAUAACCAGGAUUAGGGUUUCGGAUUAUACAUGGGUUUCUAGUUUGAUCUAUAGGUUUAAAUCAAAUUAGAUCGGUUCAUGUUGAAUGGUUUCGAAAGUAAACAGGUGGAAUGAAACUGGAAUAUCUCGG